GAGUGACAUGAUGCUUUACCGUCUUUCGGGACUGACCUUGGCUGGAGAUAUCUUUUUCUCACUGAUCACUC